rnacentral:rRNA from 1 species
AACGCGAAGAACCUUACCUACCCUUGACAUCGGGAGAACUUUCCAGAGAUGGAUUGGUGCCUUCGGGAACUCUGAGACAGGUGCUGCAUGGCUGUCGUCAGCUCGUGUUGUGAAAUGUUGGGUUAAGUCCCGCAACGAGCGCAACCCUUAUCCUUGUUUGCCAGCGAGUAAUGUCGGGAACUCCAGGGAGACUGCCGGUGAUAAACCGGAGGAAGGUGGGGACGACGUCAAGUCAUCAUGGCCCUUAUGGGUAGGGCUACACACGUGCUACAAUGGCCGGUACAGAGGGCCGCAAACUCGCGAGAGUAAGCUAAUCCCUUAAAGCCGGUCCUAGUCCGGAUUGCAGUCUGCAACUCGACUGCAUGAAGCUGGAAUCGCUAGUAAUCGCGGAUCAGAAUGCCGCGGUGAAUUCGUUCCCGGGUCUUGUACACACCG